rnacentral:rRNA from 1 species
ACAUGCAGUCGAGCGAACUGAUUAGAAGCUUGCUUCUAUGACGUUAGCGGCGGACGGGUGAGUAACACGUGGGCAACCUGCCUGUAAGACUGGGAUAACUCCGGGAAACCGGAGCUAAUACCGGAUAACAUUUUCUCUUGCAUAAGAGAAAAUUGAAAGAUGGUUUCGGCUAUCACUUACAGAUGGGCCCGCGGUGCAUUAGCUAGUUGGUGAGGUAACGGCUCACCAAGGCAACGAUGCAUAGCCGACCUGAGAGGGUGGUCGGGCCACACUGGGACUGAGACACGGCCCAGACUCCUACGGGAGGCAGCAGUAGGGAAUCUUCCGCAAUGGACGAAAGUCUGACGGAGCAACGCCGCGUGAGUGAUGAAGGCUUUCGGGUCGUAAAACUCUGUUGUUAGGGAAGAACAAGUACAAGAGUAACUGCUUGUACCUUGACGGUACCUAACCAGAAAGCCACGGCUAACUACGUGCCAGCAGCCGCGGUAAUACGUAGGUGGCAAGCGUUAUCCGGAAUUAUUGGGCGUAAAGCGCGCGCAGGCGGUUUCUUAAGUCUGAUGUGAAAGCCCACGGCUCAACCGUGGAGGGUCAUUGGAAACUGGGGAACUUGAGUGCAGAAGAGAAAAGCGGAAUUCCACGUGUAGCGGUGAAAUGCGUAGAGAUGUGGAGGAACACCAGUGGCGAAAGCGGCUGUUUUGGUCUGUAACUGACGCUGAGCGCGAAAGCGUGGGGAGCAAACAGAUUAGAUACCCUGGGUAGUCCACGCCGUAAACGAUGAGUGCUAAGUGUUAGAGGGUUUCCGCCCUUUAGUGCUGCAGCUAACGCAUUAAGCACCUCCGCCUGGGGAGUACGGUCGCAGACUGAAACUCAUAAGAAUUGACUGGGGCCCGCACAGCGGUGGAGCAUGUGUUUAUUCGAAGCAACGCGAGACCUUACAGUCUUGACAUCGUC